GGAUGGGGCGGGAGGAGGGUAGGAGGACGCGGAGGAACCGGCGAGGAGGCCUUCUAGAACGGGCUCUUCAGGCCCAAAUCGCUCAGCAGCCUGUCUCCCAGGUGAGGGGAGAGCAGUCCCCUCCACAUCCCGCUGGCCAACAGAAGCACAUUCGAGUGGUGAGGGAAAGUCAACAUCGGUUACGUCUUGUUGAGGCAACUCUGGCACUGAAACAUUACUAGAGGCCAAGAGGGUUCCCAAGACACAGUCCGCCAAUGGGUCUGCAGACGAAGGGUCCUAAAUUUAGUCUUGAAAGAGAACAAAUAAAUACCUCCUCCGUCUUUGCCCUUUUCUCAUAUGCUGGUCCCCGCCCCCAUGGAACGGUUCACCUGACUCAGCAGGUAGAAAGUAGCUGUUUGGCCCCUCCUAAGGAAUGCAAUAGCCUCCUUCGCUGCCCCUUGUCUACGCCCCCUUACCUCUUUUUCAGAAGAGGCUAGUGGCUUGCGGCUUCCCUCUUAGGGUUAGCUACAAAGGCUGGGAAGAGAAUGGAUAGUAAGAUUCAACAGGUAACUUCUUCCUGCUGCCUGCAAGGUCACGCCCCUAAAUUAUAACCACGCCCCUUUCUGGAGACUGUCGGGGUGGUUCCGGACCAGCCCGGCCUCCAGUCAGAGUUCAGUCACUCCUUUCGCUCUGCAGAGAUCUCGCGGCUAUCCUGGGAGUUGUAGUUUGUCUUCAAAGCUACCAGGGCGUUGGGGCCACGCCCCCACAUCCUUUCCUGUUCCGUUGAAGUAGUGCCUGAUGGAAGU